GACGAACGCUGGCGGCGUGCUUAACACAUGCAAGUCGAACGGUGAAGCGCCUUCCUUUUUGGUGGGUGUGGAUGAGUGGCGAACGGGUGAGUAACACGUGAGUAACCUGCCCCCUUCUUCUGGAUAACCGCAUGAAAGUGUGGCUAAUACGGGAUAUUCUGGGUCUGUCGCAUGAUGGGUCUGGGAAAGAUAUUGUUUCGGUGGGGGAUGGGCUCGCGGCCUAUCAGCUUGUUGGUGGGGUGAUGGCCUACCAAGGCGGUGACGGGUAGCCGGCCUGAGAGGGUGGACGGGCACACUGGGAAUGAGACACGGCCCAGACUCCUACGGGAGGCAGGAGUGGGGAAUAUUGCACAAUGGGCGCAAGCCUGAUGCAGCGACGCCGCGUGAGGGAUGGAGGCCUUCGGGUUGUGAACCUCUUUCGCCAGUGAAGCAGGCCUGCCUCGUUUGUGGGUGGGUUGACGGUAGCUGGAUAAGAAGCGCCGGCUAACUACGUG
rnacentral:rRNA from 1 species